rnacentral:tRNA from 1 species
CUUGGUUUUUCCGAGUGGUUAAGGCGAAAGAUUAGAAAUCUUUUGGGCUUUGCCCGCGCAGGUUCGAGUCCUGCAGUUGUCG